rnacentral:lncRNA from 1 species
UUCUGGAAAAUUUCGUUUACCUGUUUUUCUGGAUAUUGAUCUACAGUUGUCAGCGUAUUCAUAUCAAAGCAGCUAUAUAGAGUUACUUCAAAUACCUUCUUAUGCUAAACCUGUAAAUUAUGAAAUAACCUCCGUUGAGUUCACAACCAAGAACAGGUCUAACUUCUACAUGAACAACUUUUUAUACAACAUGACUGGAAUUGAUCUGUCUUGGAACAAAUUGACAGGCAGAAUACCACCCGAAAUGGGGGAGCUAAAGCGAAUCCGUUCGCUAAAUCUUUCACAUAAUGAGCUGAGUGGUUCAAUUCCAACAACCUUUUCGGGCCUAAAGUACAUAGAAAGCUUGGACCUUUCUCACAACAAGUUGACAGGAGCAAUUCCUCAACAGCUUACUGAACUGACUGUGCUGGGAUAUUUCUCUGUUGCUUACAACAAUUUAUCUGGUAAAAUACCUGAUAAAGCGCAGUUUGGUACUUUCGUGGACAAUAGCUAUGAGGGAAAUCCUUUUCUUUGCGGGUCAAUAUUGAAGAAAGACUGUAACUCAACUCUGGAAGAGUCACAGGGGGGACACGAGGAGGGAGAGAACAGCUUUAUGGAGAUGCUGGCUUUUUACUUAAGUUUUCUUAUGGCUUAUGCAAUAAUGGUGGUGGUACUUAUUGCUACUCUUUACAUCAACAUGGAUUGGAGAAACAAGUGGUUUCAUCUAGUUGAUGCUUGUAUCAAUACUUGUCUUUGUAAGUUGACCAAUCAAAAUGAUUAGAAUUUCAUCAUUGUUUAAAAGAAAAUGCCGAGGGAAGCCGAAGGCAUGUACCUAUGUACUAGCAAAACACAAAGCCGAAUGGGUAAAAUCCCAUGAUAUUAAACUUUUGGUGAUUGAAGCAUAAUUGGACACUAAACUUCUAUUUUUUUCUUGUUAAAAACAAGGUAGAAAUUGUAGAGAAGCAAAGAAGUAAGCGUAUGUCAGAGAUUGUCAUCGAAAUCAACUCAAAUUUAUAUUUGUAAAAAGGUUUUUUUGUUGUGUUGAGAAAGUGUUGUAUACAAGUAAAAUAGGAUGUGUUGUGAGAUAACGGAGAAAAUGAUUGGAGUAAACUUUAAAGUAUUGACUGCAGCUAUGGGUGAUGAUAUUUGAUAAAUAAAAGCUGAGUAGAGAAGAGAAUGAGAUUAAAAAAAUGAUUUGGAAAGAGUAAAUUACAGAGGGAACUGAAUAAAUUUGUUAAAAGUUUUUAAAAGUCUUAUGAAUCAUUUAAAUUCUUAUUUAUAGGUUUCAAAAAUAAGAGUUAUAUAUUUUGAGUAUUAAAUGAGAAUAAUAAUAAACAAUGAGAUAAUUAAUUAUUACAAAAUAUAUUAAUAUAUUGUUUAAUGAAAGUGUAAUUAAUUUUUUUGUGAUACACAUAAUGAAUAUAAAAAUUCACUAUUUUUUUUUUUGAAAGAAAGGAAAAAGCAUUUAAGAAAAAGUUAAGAUGAAACUUUUUAAUUAUCUUCGUAUUUAAUCCACUAAAUUAAACUUUCUAAAAUAUUUUAAUAACGAGAUUAAUCCAAAAAUUUUAUUAUAUUUUGAGGUUAUUUUCACUCAUUUAUUUGAUGAAGUGUUUUUUGUGAAGUAAAAAAUAAUUUUUAGUAAAAGAGUUUUUGAUGAAUAAUUAUUUCGUAAAAUAAUAUUUAUUAAAAUAAUUUUAUUAUAUUUUUUAAUUUAUUUUCAAUUUUAAUAACUCUAAAACAAUAUAUAAAAAUAAAAUAUUAAUAAUCAAAAUCAAAUAUCUUCAAUAUUUAAUUGAAAUUCAACUGAAAUUUAAAACCAUAGAUUACAAAUGAAAUCACCAUUCACCAGCCAUUAGAUGCAUUUAAAUGCUCGCAUUUGAAUUUAGGAAAAACAGUUCAUUAAUUACAAAUUUUUUUAAAAUAGUAAUUUAAUUAUUUUUAAUCAAUGUUUAUAAACACUUGUUAAUCAGAUACACAUUCCAUGACAUAACACUGGCUAGGAGAAUGCAGAUUAACAGAGAUAUUAUUGAUGACAUAUGAUGACCAGUCCAUCCAGGAAAUUCCAUUUUGUAAGUUGCAGAUUGGUGGGCUUGGUUGUAAAGGAAACAAUAAAAUGUUAAAUUCCAUAUUUUCCCCCACUUUCCAAAGAAAGUGACAUCACGCCAACGCAACGGCAUGACAUAAUUGCACGGUCCAUUGAACGUGCUUAAAUGGAAAGUGGCUUUACCAUUUCCCCCACAAAACGUUGAACCGACAACUAAACCCCGAUAGAGAAAGAAAAAACAAAGAAAAAUGAUAAUAAUUGCAGAAAUGAAAAAAAAAUAAAAAAUUUAUUUCAUUUCAUUUCGUCACGCCCAUCGGCGUUUAAUAACAGUCCUUUCUUUUAUUCCGCUUCGAAAUUAGCGUUAAUUUCCUAAAAAUUAUUAUUAUUAUCAGAUUGUUUUUCUUUGCUAAUCUUUUUUUGUUUGAUUGCUAACAAAAUUUUACAAGGAAAUAAUACAAAACCACAAAGUUUCAGCAACAUACACAACGUUACUAAGCAAUGGGGCCUGAAAAGAGAAUGGAUGUCUGUCAUUUUGUUACUUAUUUUGACAUUUAUUUUCAGGGAAAGUAAAUGGAAGUGAGGCAAAGUAUGUGGUGGAGUUUUCAUGGGGGAUUACUAGGAGGUCUGUCGUGGAGGGGCAGAUUGGUGAACCUGUGCCUGUGGAGAUCGGUACUUCAUCCCUAGUUUCGGCUGCUAAGAGGACUUACAGAAAGGACCCUCUUAAUGGGUUCAAGAGAUACUCAGGAGGAUGGAAUAGCGGGGAGCGCUAAUACUAGGUUAUAAGCUUACCUUAACCCAAGAGCCGAGAUGACCCAUUUUUGAUGAGUUUUUUUUUUUUUUUUAGUUUUCUCUUUUCGGACAUGAUCGUGCCAUCUACUCAUGUCCAGUUAUUUACCACUUGCCAGGAUAGGAUUACUCUUGGACCCUUGGCCCUGGUUCAAACUUUCAAUGCUGGCACGUGGGUGAUUUUACAUUUGCAUCCUUCAGAAUUUGUGAUUUUGGCACGUGAGGGUAUAAUUACUAGUCAAACAUUCUGGUUAAGGUCCCCCAUGCCCACCAUACACCCUCCUUUUUCUUUAGUUGUAUUUUUGUGGCAAAAUGGUAGUGAAAUUAGAGAGUGGAUAUUGAAAAUAUAGUUUCCAAUUGCAGUCCAGAGGAGAUAAUUUAUUUCUGUAGAUAUGUAUAGAGUUUUUUUUUUUUUUUUUUUGUUUGGCCGGAAAAAAAGAAUGGAUAUGUUUAGCAUAACAUGGAUGAUACUAACUUUUUCUUUCUAAUCUAAUACACAAUCAUAGCAGUAGUCCAAUACCUACAUUUAUGUUUGCAGAAAUGCUGAGCUGGUGCUAGAAAUAGUAUGCCAUUAGCCCAUUACUGCAGCAAUUUCCUUUUGGAGUAAUUUUUCCAUGCAUUUUUCAUUUAUGCAGUAGAUAUUGAAGCAAAUAGGAUUGAGACAUGGUUCAAGCUUUGCGGAACAAGGCAGGUCCUUGAUGCUGGAUGAUGUGAAGUUAAGAAUGUGACUUUGUAAACAAGUUGAUUGAUUCUUAGGUAUACCAUAUCUGUCUUCCCUUGUGGAAGCUGGCGAAUCAUAGAUGAACAUGAUAUCUACCAAAAAGUUUGGUCCUUUCACACUACAAAAUUUUUCUUUGUACUUUGAUUUAGCUCUAGUGUUGCACUAAGGUGUUUUUUUUUUUUUUUUUUUUUUCGAAUAUUUUCAUUUGCGUACCCUUUUAUCCAUUUUCGUGUCCUAAUGCACGUUGGAUUAAUAUGUAUUGGAUAUAUUAGCAGCUUAGUCAGUAUCAGUUUAAGAUUAUGUCCUAACUAACUCAGUUCCAAUUUAUGUUUAAAUGCAGUCCGUGGCUUUUACUGCCACUUUCUCUGUUUGCAAUUGCUGAAUCUGGUUUGGUUGGCUUUGGUAUGCUUAUUGCUCAUCUUCUCUGUUAUUUCUGUUGUAAAAGGCAGCCACAUGAUCUUCUCGAAUUGCUUAUGCAAUCUCUCUCAUUUUCCUGGUGUUGUUCCCAGUUGCUGCAAUGUAAAUGCAUCUUUCUCUCGUGUCAUAUUCAUAUUGAAUAUUGAUAUGUGUCAUGAUAGUUCCUAAAUCCUAAUGCUUUGCUCUUUGGUUUUAGGCUUGGCUGCUUUGUCCUAUAUGUUGGCCAGGGGAGGUUUCAUAAAAGCACUACAAAAACAUUAGCAUGUGUUGUAAAUCAGGCAGUUAUGAGUAUCAGGAAACUAAAGGAUGUGUCGGACUCUCUUGCGACAGCUAAGUAGAUCGGAGUUGAUAAAAAUUUUUCUACCUUCUUAUGUCCAAACUGAUAUUGAUGAGAUAGGAGCAAAAAUUAAUUCUUCUGGAAGCACUCUAGCCGACAAAACAGUGGAUAAUUCAGAUGAGAUCUCCUAGAUUCUGUGUAAGUGAAGGAUUCUGAAGUUUACCUAUAUGUUUUAGUGCUUCCAAGAAAAGCUUUCAUUAAAGCUGUAUUUCAAUGCUGCUACAGGAGAGUGGCUCUUAUUGCAAUAGCCGCUAUUAUGCUUCUAUUGACAUUUCUUGGAUUCUGCAAGUCCCUGUGGUUUCUUUAGUAAGAAUUCGCGAAAGUUCGUUUUUUCAGAAUUUAGAAAGUUUGUGACUUCAUUUAUUUAUACAAUCUAAUUUUGUUUAAGUAUUCUCAAUUUUUGGGAUGCAGCUUCUUGUUUACAUGUGAGUAGGAUGGAAUUUCAUUCUCCAAUUUUUUCUCUGAUUUUGUUUGGAUUCAAACGAGGAUCUUUCUUAACAGAAGGGUUUAAAACUAUAUCUGUUUCAGUCUGGUGAUACUAGGAUGGAUGCUUGUCACUGGAACAUUCCUUGUUCUCCAUAAGUAAGUUUUAGCAUAGCUCAACCUAUAUCUCUACAUCUUACUGCUUCUAAUUUUACAUCCUAAUUGAUGUUUUGUUUUUGAUGUGCGAGUGCGGCUGCAGAUACUUGUGUUGCAAUGCAUGAUUGAAUCCAAAAUCCCACUGCUCAUGCGGCUUUAGAUGAUAUACUGCCUUGCGUGGACAAUGCUACAGCCCAAGAAACAUUGUUGAAAAGCAGGGAAGUUACCUCUCAGCUUGUUGAAGUUAUUAACCAGGUCAUAACCAACGUGUCAAACAUUAAUUUUUCACCUAACUUUCCGACCAUGUACUUCAAUCAAUCCGUUCCAUUGGUGCCGGUACUCUGCAAUUCUUUAUUUCCUGACCUUACAGAUCGAAUUUGCACUGCCGGUGAAGUGAAUGCAGAUAAUGCAACAUAUGUAAAUUCAUUGGACCCAGCAACAUCAAUGCAUUAUUAUUAACAAGCAAACAAACUUGAACUGAGAUAGAAAGUAGGCUGCCAAGAAUUUCUAUAUGUUUUCUUUUGGUUGCAAGAUCUGGACUUAUUUUCCAGUAAGAUAUUAUCAUUUACUACAGGUAUGAAGGAACUAUGUCUGUCAGGUUUCUGCAACUGGAAUAUGCACCACAACAGGACGAUUAACUCCAGCCUUCUAUGACCAGAUGACAGCUGUGGUAAAUGUGGGUUCUGCAUUAUAAAAUUAUGCUCCUUUCGUUGUUCAGCUUCAAGACUGCACAUUUGUGAGGGAAACUUUUACAGGCAUUUAUGUAGAACACCGCCCUGGUCUACGGCGAUAUAGUAGAUGGAUCUAUACAGGGCUGGCAAUGGUCUCAACUGCACUUAUGCUCCCUUUAAUCUUCUGGGUAAUAUAUGGGCGAGAGAGACGCCGUCGCCUUUAUACAAAACAGUUAAGUGAGGCUCCUGAAGCAGACAGAGACUCUUGAGAGAAGCUUUUCUUUCACUUUUUGUGCGGGAAUGGGAAUGGUUGUUUCUUUGCAGUUGUGGUCCGCAGCUUCACUCUAUGUUGCAGGUCCUUUAGUGUGGUUUGUCCAUAUAAAACUGUAACCAAUCCACGCCAGUAAUCAAAGAAUCCAGGUCCAUAAGUGGGUUGUACCUUGUAGUGCUAAAAGACUCGCAUGAUCAGAUUGAAAGGAUUUGUUUCGGGGAAAUUUCAUUACAUGUAGACUUGGGUUAAAUUCCUUCCAUGCCAUGAUGAUUCGUUUCAUGUUUUUUGAUAUUUUCUUUCCACAACCAAAUGAAGGGGAACUUCAAUUUCUGUUUGUUGAUCCCAUUUCAAGAACCAUGUUAAUAAGGCCUUCAAUACACAAAUUUUCCUAUACUUACCGCACUAAAAUAUUAAAUUAUUAAGAGUAAAUGUUUUAUAAAAUUAAUAAAACUUAACUCAUAAAUUUGAGGAUUCCGAAAAGCUACGAAAGAUAAUGUUAUGUACAUAUAACUGUUUAUUCAUGAGCACUUUUGAAAAAUAAUAGAAUUAGAUGGUUUUUUUAUUAGGUUAAAAAAUUUAUACAAGAAGUGUGUAUAUUUUUAUGUUUAUAUAACCUUUUCCAUAAAUAAAUGUUUUUGAGCAAAAUGACCGAGCAUGUCAAUCCCAUUGACUUAUUGCUACGGCCGACAAAUAAUAGGGGCUUAAAUUUAUUCUAAAAUUGGGCUGCACAGACUAAAAGCACCGUCUAAAAUGAAAACAAAACCCAGCCUGUAUUCAAUAUUCAAAGGUUUUGUCAGUUAGAGAAUAACUUCGACAUGCCUUGUCUUGGUCCAAGUGUCCAUCGCGCUUCGGCUCACCCUCUACAGUAAAAAAACUUCUGGGCUCCGUGAUAUCAUUCCAGUCUAAGCCCUUGAAUAUAGCUUUGAUAAAUUGCGACUCGUUCCAUACAGAAAAUGCUGACCAAUCAGUUCUUGAUAAAGACGAAGAAUUCACCGUCAUUCCGCGUGGUCGACUUAGUGAAGCCACUUGUGUAAUAAAGGAGCAUAUAAUAAGUCAAACAAACUCCUCGUCUGAACAAAUGCGAUGUCUCUGCUAGAGAUUGACUGAGGAUUCUCUAAUCAGCAGCCUUUGCAAUGAGCUGAUAAUCAUGAUGGUCAAGAAAUGGAGUAAACCAAUGGUUUGGGUAAUCUCUUUCGCUUGUAGACCAUCUCCUAUGCACUGUCCCCAUUGGUGCCUGCUAUUAUUAUAUAUAAAUUAGAACGUAACCUUUCCAUUUCCAUCUCAAAUAGGUCCAUGUAAUUAAUAUAGGGAUGGACCAUUCGAGAAUUUGUCGAUUUGAGGCACUCGAUUGACUAAUCCAAAGGUCCGCAAAAGCAACUUCUAUAUAUAUCAAUAUCUUCUUUCUCAGCUGCAGCAACCAAUAGAUUCUUUCAAACCAUGAAGUGGAUUUUCUGGUGCUGGCUUUCUUUGGUCCUGGUACAGUUAAACGAUUACCAAUGCUUUGGUUGCCAUGAGGAAGAGAGGCUUGCUCUUUUGAAACUCAAAACAUCUUUCUAUCCGGACGAGAGCUAUGCUCCUCCAUCUUGGGAGGAUAAUGAUAGUGACUGUUGUGGUUGGGAAAACGUGGUGUGUGACAAAGAAACGAAACAAGUAAGUAAGCUUUUUCUUAACAGCUCAUGGGAUCCCCUUGAAGUAUAUGAAGAUGUGUAUCUGGAUGCCACCCUUUUUCUUCCAUUUAAGGAUCUGACUUCCCUAAACUUGUCUUCAAACAUGUUUUCUGGUUUGGCUGAUAAUGAUGGUACUAGAAACUUCUUUUUUUCAGUUUAUCAUUUCAGGAUUCUGUUUUUCUGCUGUGAAAUAGGAAGGAAGUUUAAAUAUUCAUUUUUUUCGAAUUCUCUUCGUUCAACAGGCUUUGAAAGAUUGUCUAAACUGAACAAGUUGAGAUUCCUUGAUUUGAGCGGGGGCAACUUUAAUGACAGCAUCUUUGCACAUGUUGGAGCAAUCUCUUCACUUACUACUUUGUAUUUGGCUUCGAACUUAAUGACCGGAGCGACUCAUUUCCAAGGUAUGUUCAUUCUUCCAUUUUACUUUGGACCCAAGAAUCUCUAUCUCAUGUAACUUUGCUCGUGUCAUGAUAUUGUUCUCUGAAGAACUGCCUGCUCUGUCUAACUUGGAGGAGUUGGACUUGAGUGAGAAUUUGUUAGAAAGCUUCAUGGAGAUUCAAGGUACACCACCAAUGUUUAAUUACAUUUUGCACUCGAUGGUUUCCUAGUCGACCUCUGGUUUAGCUGAUUUCUAUUUCAGGUCUUAAAAAAUUGAGCAAACUGAAAGUCCUGAACCUAAACUCAAAUAAGCUCAACAUGAGUACUUUACUGUCUCUCGGGAAUCUCCAUUCGCUCAAGAGGCUUUAUAUCAACGAUAAUAGCUUGGAAGGAUCCAUUGCUAUUGAAGGUACGCACAACUAAAAAAAAAUAAGGGCAGCCCGGUGGAUAAAGCACUCCGGCUAUCUGCGAGUUCGGGGAAGGGUCUAUUGUACGCAUGUUUUAUCAUACCUUGAUUUUUCUACCUUCCUUCCUUUCUAGGACUUAACAGUUUGAGAAACUUGGAGGUCUUGGAUGUCUCUUCCAGUAAUAUUAGCAGCAACUUUCUUCAGGUUUUAGACUACAUGAUAUCCCUUAAAGGCUUAUCCUUGCGUGAUAAUAGUCUCAAUGGCACCACGGAUUUGCUUGGUAAUUUUAGUUGUACUUGAAACCAAGUGUUUUAAUUGAAUUAAAUUAACAAGUAUUUAUUGUAUUAACUUUGUUUUCUAACAAUUUUGGCAGGCUUGUGCAAACUUAGGGAUCUUGAAGAGUUGGAUCUCAGUCAUAACAGUUUCAAAGGCACAAUCCCUUCCUGUGUUGAAACCUUGACAUCCCUUCGAGUUCUGGAUAUCUCUAGAAACAGGUUUUCGGGGAACAUCAGUUCAUCUUUCAUCUCUAGCCUCAUUUCCCUUGAGUUUCUUUCCCUUUCUCACAAUGUAUUCCAAAGUUUGGCCCCAUUUUCCUCAUUUGCUAACCAUUCUAAGCUUGAGGUCUUUGAGCUUAUCGGUAAUAACAAUGGGUUAAUGGUUGAAAUCGAUGAUCAUAAUUGGGUUCCACGCUUCCAACUGAAGAUCUUCCGUCUUUCAGGCUGUUCAGUUGAUGAAGGAUCCAUGUUCAAAUUUCUUUCUUACCAAUAUGAUCUUAGAGUGAUUGAUCUCUCUGAUAACAACUUGGAAGGAGAUUUCCCUAAUUGGUUGAUGGAGAAUAAUACAAGAAUGGUAGAGCUAUAUUUGAAAAAUAAUUCUUUCAAAGGCCAAUUUCCUCUUCCAUCUCGUCCUAGCACAUUCAUCUCCGUUGUUGAUAUUUCCAGCAAUCAGCUUCAAGGACAUAUCCCAUCCACCAUAAGUGUCUAUCUCCCAAAUCUGAAAUAUCUGAAUCUCUCAACGAAUUCCUUCAAAGGUAGCAUUCCUUCUUCAUUCGGUGAUAUGAAAAAUCUGCUCGUUUUGGACCUGUCAAACAAUGAACUCUUGGGAGGCAUACCUGAUAGCUUGGUCUCUGGCUGCAUUCUUUUGCAUGCUCUAAUAUUGUCAAACAAUAAUCUUAGUGGCGAAAUGUUUCCAAAGUUUUCUAAUCUAACCAGCUUAGAAAUACUGCGUUUGAAUGGGAAUCUCUUUCUUGGAGAAAUCCCAGAGAGUUUGCUCAACAGCUCAUACUUGAAGAGUCUAGAUGUUAGUUAUAACUCCUUAUCAAGUAAGCUGCCAACUUGGAUGGGAAAUUUGACUUAUCUGCAAACACUUUUGAUGGCCGGCAAUCAUCUUGAAGGACCGAUUCCCACUGAGUUUUGUUCAUAUGAGAACAUUGAAAUUCUUGAUCUUUCGCAAAACAAUCUCUCAGGCUCUAUCCCUUCUUGCUUUAGCCCAAUAUCCCUUCUCCAGGUAUACCUGCAUGACAACAAGUUCACAGGACCAAUAACAAAAUCCUUCUCUCAAAGCUCACUUUUGGUGACUUUAGACCUCAGAAACAACUACUUGACCGGAGGUAUUCCCAGUUGGAUUUCCAAUCUCAGUUUGAGCAUUCUUCUUCUGAAAGAAAACCAGUUGGAAGGAAGAAUCCCUGUUGAGUUGUGUCAGUCAUCCUUGAUGACUAUGCUAGAUCUUUCUCACAACAAUCUCUCAGGUCCUAUUCCUUCUUGCUUGAACAAGAUACCAUUCAAAAUAGGGUUUCGUUCGGGAAAAUUUCGUAUAGCUGUUUCUCUGGAUGGUGAUCUACAGUUGUCAGCCUAUUCAUAUCAAGGCAGCUAUAUAGAGUUACUUCAAAUACCUUCCUAUGCUAAACCUGCAUAUUAUGAAAUAUCCUCUGUUGAGUUCACAACCAAGAACAGGUCUGACUUCUACAGGAACAACUUUUUAUACAACAUGACUGGAAUUGAUCUCUCCUGGAACAAAUUGACAGGCAGAAUACCACCUGAAAUAGGGGAGCUAAAGCUAAUCCGUGCACUAGAUCUUUCACAUAAUGAAUUGAAUGGUUCAAUUCCAACAACCUUUUCGGGCCUAAAGAACAUAGAAAGCUUGGACCUUUCUCACAACAAGUUGACAGGAGCAAUUCCUCAACAGCUUACUGAGCUGACUGCGCUGGGAUAUUUCUCUGUUGCUUACAACAAUUUAUCUGGUAAAAUACCUGAUAAAGCGCAGUUUGGUGCUUUCGUGGAAAAUAGCUAUGAGGGAAAUUCUUUUCUUUGCGGGCCAACGUUGAAGAAAGACUGUAACCCAACUCCGGAACAAUCACCUGCGGGUCAUGAGGAGGGAGAGAACAGCUUUAUGGAGAUGCUGGCUUUUUACUUGAGUUUUCUUGUGGCUUACGUAACAGUGGUGGUGGUACUUACUGCUACUCUUUACAUCAACAUGGAUUGGAGAAACAAGUGGUUUCAUCUAGUUGAUGCCUGUAUCACUACUUGUCUUUGUAAGUUGACCAAUCAAAAUGAUUAGAAUUUCAUCAUUGUUUGAAAUAAAAUGCAGAGGGAAGCUGAAGGCAUGCAACAAUGUUCCAGCAAAUCACAGAGCCAAAUGAGUAAAAUCCCAUGAUAAAAAACUUUUGGUGAUUGAAGCAUAAUUAGAUACUAAACUUACAUUUUUUUUCUUGUUAAAAACAAGAGAGAAUUUUUAGAGAAGCAAAGAAGUAAGGGUAUGUCAGAGAUUGUCAUCCAAAUCAACUCAAACUUAUAUUUGUAAAAAGGUUUUUUUGUUGAGGUGAGAAAGUGUCGUAAACAAGUAAAGUAUGAUGUGUUGGGAGAUAACGGAGAAAAAUAUUAGAACAAACUUUAAAGUAUUAAUUACAGGAAUAGAGGGUGAUAGCUGGUAAAUGAAGGAUGGUAGAGAAGAAAAUGAGAUUGAAAAAAUGAUUUAGAAAGAGAAUAUGUGUUAUAUAUUGAGUGUUGAACGAGAAUAAUGAUAAAUAAUGAAAGAAUUGAUUGUGACAAAAGAUAUUGAUAUAUUGUUUAAUGAAAGUGUAAUUUACUUUUUUAUGAUAGACAUAAUAUUAUAAAAGUUUACUAUUUUUUUGAAAGAAAGGAAAAAACACUUAGGAAAAGGUUAAGAUGAAACUUCUUAACUAUCUUUUUAUUUAAUUCAUUAACUUAAAUUUUUAAAAAUAUUUUAAUAAUAGAAUUAAUCCAAAAAUUGUUAUCAUAUUUUAGGGUUAUUUUCACUUAUUCAUUUGAUGAAGUGUUUUUUGUUAAAUAAGUAAUUUUUGGUAAAAAAAUUUUUCAUAAAUAAUUAUUCCAUAAAAUAGUUUUCAUUGAAACAACCUUAUUAUAUUUUUUAAUUUAUUUACAAUUUUAAUAAUUUUAAACAAAAUUUAUAAAAAUAAAAUAUUAAUAAUCAAAAUCACAUUUCUUCAAUAUUUAAUUGAAAUUCAACUGAAAUCUAAAACCAUAAAUUACAAAUGAAAUCACCAUUCACUAGUCAUUAGAUGCAUUUAAAUGCUUGCAUUUGAAUUUAGUAAAAACAGUUCAUCAAAUACAAAUUUUUUUUUAAAUAGUAAUUUAAAUAUUUUUAAUCAAUGUUUAUAAACACCCGUUAAUCAGAUACACAUUCCAUGACACAACACUGGCUAGGAGAAUGCAGAUUAACAGGGAUAUUAUUGAUGACAUAUGAUGACCAGUCCAUCCAGGAAAUUCCUUUUUGUAAGUUGGAGAUUGGUGGGCUUGGUUGUAAAGCAAACAAUAAAGUGUUAGAUUCUAUAUUUUCCCCCACUUUCCAAAGAAAGUGACACCACGCCAAUGCAACGGCAUGACAUAAUUGGACAGUCCAUUAAACGUGCUUAAAUGGAAAGUGGCAUUGCCAUUUCCCUUACAAAACGUUGACCCGACGACCAAACCCCAAUAGAGAAAGAAAAAACAAAGAAAAAUGAUAAUAGUUGCAGAAAUGAAAAAAUAAUAAGAAAUUUCUUUCAUUUCAUUUCGUCACACCCAUCGGCAUAUAAUAGCUUUCCUUUCUUUUAUCCCGCUUCGAAAUUAGCGUUAAUUUCCUAAAAAUUAUUAUUAUUAUUAUCAGAUUGUUUUUCUUUGCUAAUCUUUUUGUUUGGUUGCUAACAAAAUUUUACAAGGAAAUAAUACAAAACCACAAAGUUUCGGCAACAUACACAACGUUACUAAGCAAUGGGACUGAAAAGAGAAUGGAUGUGACUGUCAUUUUCUUACUUAUUUUGACAUUUAUUUUCAGGGAAAGUAAAUGGAAGUGAGGCAAAGUAUGUGGUGGAGUUUUCAUGGCGGAUUGCUGGGAGGGUCUGUAGUGGAGGGGCAGAUUGGUGAACCUGUGCCAGUGGAGAUCGGUACUUCAUCCCUUGUUUCGGCUGCUGAGAGGACUUACAGAAAGGACCCACUUAAUGGGUUCAAGAGGAUGAAAUAUCAGGGAGCGCCAUUACUGGGCUGUAAGUUUACCAAAACCCAAGAGCCGAAAUGACCCAUUUUUGAUGAGUUUUUUUUUUUUUUUUUGACUUUUCUCUUUUCGGACAAGACCAUGCCAUGCACUUAUGUCCAGUUAUUUACCACUUGCCAGCAUAUGAUUACUCUUGGACCCUUGGCUCUGGUUCAAAUUUUCAAUGCUGGCACGUGGGUGAUUUUACAUUUACAUCCUUCAGAAUUUGUAUUUUGGCACGUGAGGGUAUAAUUUCUAGUCAAACAUUCUGGUUAAGGUCCCCCAUGCCCACCAUACACCCUUCUUUUUCAUCAGUUAUAUUUUUGUGGCAAAUGGUAGUGAAAUUAGAGAGUGGAUAUUGAAAAUACAGUUUCCAAUUGCAGUCCAGAGGAGAUAAUUUAUUUCUGUAGAUAUGUAUAGAGUUUUUUCUUUUUUGGCGAGAAAAAAAAAUGGAUAUGUUUAGCAUAACAUGGAUGAUACUAACUUUUUCAUUCUAAUCUAACACACAAUCAUAGCAGUAGUCCAAUACCUACAUUUAUGUUUGCAGAAAUGCUGAGCUGGUGCUAGAAAUAGUAUGCCAUUAGCCCAUUACUGCAGCAAUUUCCUUUUGGAGUAAUUUUUCCAUGCAUUUUUCAUUUAUGUAGUAGAUAUUGAAGCAAAUAGGAUUGAGACAUGGUUCAAGCUUUGCGGAACAAGGCAGGUCCUUGGUGCUGGAUGAUGUGAAGUUAAGAAUGUGACUUUGUAAGCAAGUUGAUUGAUUCUUAGGUAUACCAUAUCUGUCUUCCCUCGUGGAAGCUGGCGAAUUAUAGAUGAACAUGACAUCCACCAAAAAGUUUGGUCCUUUCAUACUACAAAAUUUUUCUUUGUACUUCGAUUUAGCUCUAGUGUUGCACUAAGGUGUUAUUUUUUUUUUUUUUGAAUAUUUUCAUUUUCGUACCCUUUUAUCCAUUUUCGUGUCCUAGCAGUUGGAUUAUAUGUAAUUGGCUAUAUUGCAGCUAGUCAGUAUCAGUUUAAGAUUUAUGUCCUAACUAAUCAGUUCCAUUUUUGUUUAAAUGCAGUCCGUGGCUUUUACUGCACUUCCUCUGUUUGCAAUUGCUGCAAUCUGGUUUGUUGGCUUUGGGUUAUGCUUAUUGCUCAUCUUUCUCUGUUGUUUCUGCUGUAAAAGGCAGCCACAUGGAUAUUCUAGAAUUGCUUAUGCAAUCUCUCUCAUUUUCCUGGUGUUGUUCACAGUUGCUGCAAUGUAAAUGCAUCUUUCUCUCGUGUCAUAUUCAUAUUGAAUAUUGAUGUGUCAUGAGUGUUCCUAAAUCCUAAUGCUUUGCUCUUUGGUUUUAGGCUUGGCUGGGUUGUCCUAUAUGUUGGCCAGGGGAGAAACACCCGAUGAAGAAACAAAACCUUUACCACAACCAGUGGAUCGAGGCAAAAGAAAAAUAGGAGAAGUUUCUAACCUAGAAAUUGAUGAUCUACUAAGAUUCUCAGAUUUUGUAGAAAACCCAAAAAAAUAUCAACCAGUUGAAACACAUCCUGUUGAUCCGAAUUAUUUCCCUAAAAAAGAGAAAAUAAAACAAACGUCAACUGUUGAGCAAAGCCAAACAAGCCAAACAAGCCAAACUCAACAACAACCUUCUUCCAUGAAUAUAGAUUUGUUAAAUAAACGAACUGUAGCACAAGGAGGAACUUAUUUAGAUCUGUCAAAAGUCUCACUUUCAGAAUAUGAAAAAAGCAUUGAUGAAUGGGUACAAUCAAUGUUUAUUGUAAUAACCAACUACAAAGACAUAUGGAAUAAAGAAAGGUUUCUUAACUAUUUUUGUGGAAUUUGGCAAGGUGAUGCUCUUAAGUUUCUCAAAAAAUGAAAAACUACAAAAUUAGGAAAAUCUCAAAAAGCAAAACUUUUUAAUACUACUACCAUUUCAGGACUUUUAAAACUUCUUACACAAAUAAAAAAAAAUAAAAUGUGUGGGAUGAUGGAAGAAAUUGAUGCUAUAGAUGAAGCUUGAUAUAUUCUUUCAAAACUCAAACUUUACAACGUCCUAAAUUUGGAUGAAUUUUUUAGAAAAUAUCUUUCUGAAUACCAAGGAUUGGAUGAAGAAUAUUCAAAGUUUUGGUUAGAACAAUAUUUUCAUAAACUUCCCUUACUAUGAGAUGAAUUAUGUGCUCAAAAUUAUUCUCUUUUUCUAAAAUCAAAGCUUGAUAAAUCUUCUUUUACAAAUCCUAGUAUACAACUAUAUGAUACUCUAAGAAGUAGAAUACAGUAUAUACAAAAUCAAGUUAUAGAAUACUGUUUGAAACAAUUGACAGCAAAACAGGUUAAAAGCAAACUUAGUCAUAAACAAUGUACUAAGAUUUUGAAUGAUGAAUUCAAUUUUGGUUGUAAUCAACAAUCAAAAUUUAAGAAACGUUUUAAAAAGAAUAGUUAUUCCAUGAGAAAAUGGAAACCAUAUAAACAACAUAUUCAACCAAAAAGGAAAUAUGUUGUAAAAAAGAAAAAAGAAAAAAAAUAAAUCAUAGAGCACAGACAAAACAAAAUGCAAAUGUUUCAUUUGUGAUCAAGAAGGUCAUAUAGCACCUAACUGUCCUAACAAAAGACGUAACGCUAAAAAUAUGAUCAAAACUCUUGAACAAUAAAAGCUUUGUGUAGCUUAUGCAGAAGAAAUAUCAGAUCCUGAAGAUAUCCUUUAUGAAAUAUUUUCAGAAACUGAUUUUGAUAUUUUUGAUAAUGAAUAUAUUUUUAUGAUUAACGAAGCUUCAUCUAAUCAAGAUACAGCUUCUAUAAGAUCUAAAUCUUCUUUAACAAAACCUGUUUCAAAAGAAAUGACUUUUCUAAAGAAUAUUAUGAGAAAAACUCAUAUUAUUUUUAGAAGAAAAACUUAAGCAACUUCAACUAAUAAAAAAGAUGAGAUUUACAAAACUAGCUAUUUUAAAGUUUUUAAAUCUUGGUUUAAACUCCAUAUAGAAAAAGUAUUAGCUAUUUUAAAGUUUUUAAAUCUUAGUUUAAACGCCAUAUAGAAAAAGUAUCUAGAGAUACAAUUACUAAUGAUUCUAAACAAGGAUUAAUAUAAAUUCCUCUGUUUUUUCAACAGAAAAUAAAUCAUUUUCUAUAAAAAUAUCCAAAAAUCAAAUAUUUUCAUCUCGAACUUAUUAUGAUUACAAUAAAACCUUUUCAUAUUUUUGGCAAGGAUAUACCCAUUCUUGCAGUUUUAAUGGACCAAAGAUUUUCUAAUACAAUAAAUGCAGUAGUUGCAAGAAUCCAAUCUAAUUUAGCAUCUGGUGUAAUUGCUUUUAAAGUAAAACCAAAUUAUUUUUUAUCAGUUUUUGAUCUUUUAAUAAAACAAAGCCUUUAUCUAUGUAUCAGAACAUAAAAUUUUGAUAUAGUUAAUAGAUCUCAUGAGCUUUCCAUAAAUUGGACAGCUAUAUAUGAAUUAUUAAAUACUAUAUUUAUAUCUAUCAAAAAGAUAGAUCCAAAGCUGAUUGAAAUUUUUGAAUCACAAAAAUUUAAAUUAGAAAUAAAGCCAAAAUUUAUGAAUGUACGAGACUUAUCCAUUCCUACUGGAUGGCUAUUACCUAACCUAAAAGAUGAAGACAAAAUUUAGAACCAAUCUAGUUCUAUAGAAUUUUUUUCAUCAGGAAAAAAAUCUAUAUUUUAAAAAUACAAGCAGAUACAAUCCAAAUUCUAGAUUAGUAUUACCUCCCUCAUUAUCUUCUAAUCAAGAAGAUGAUCUAGAAAGUCUAAAUAGCCAAACAUCCAUUGCUACUCCUUACAAAAAUUCUUUUUCUGGUUUUCAAACAAACUAUACAACUAGUACUUAAAUUUUUAUUUUUUCAAGAGAUAAUCAAUCUCAACCAUCAAAUUAUCAAACUGUUAAUUCUGUUCUAAAUUUUGUAACUUCUUCUAGAAAAACUAGAAUUAAAGAAACAAAAUCUUUAGUUUUAAAAACUGAUUUUAUCAAUUUCAGCAAUAAAAAAGCAACAAGCUUUUUUACUUUUAUUGAAGGAAAAUUUCGAUUUCAAAACUAUAAACCCUAUUCCCUUCAUAUAUUAUUAGACAUAGUAGCAACAAUCUCUAGUUGUCGAAGCAAUGCGUUACCAUUAAACAAAUGAGAACCAAUGAAACAUCUAAUCAUAGUAGUCAAAAUAAAGGGUAAAGAAACUCUUAUAGGUUACAAGGCAAAAAAUGUUCCGGUUUAUUUCAACAAUACUAAAUUUAUUAUUCCUAAAAUAUUAUGUUUUCCCCAUAUGCAUGGAGACGUGUUAUUAGGAAACAACUUUUUAUAAAAGAUUUACCUUUUUAUAUUUAUCCUGAUAAGAUUUUUCUUACAAUGGAUAACCAAUCCAUCAAAAUAAAUUUGGUAAAAGAACCACAAAAUAUUUGUGAUAAAAAUUUUCAACCAAAAUUGUUACAAUCAUAAAUCAAAAUAAUCAGUAAAAAAACAUUGGUUAUACACUGUUUUAAAAGAAAAUUUCUCAAAAUAACCUUUAAAACUUUUGGGAAGAAGCCCUCGUUUUUGUUCUCUUAAACUUAUUGAUCUUUUAAAGAUCAUUUGAGUAAAACCAAUGAUCUAUACCAAACAAGAUAUAGAUGGAUUUGAAAUACAAAUUUUUGAACUAUUGAUAAAAGGGUUAAUUGAACCAACAAUUACCCUCAUUCAAGUCUUGUAUUUUUUGUUAGAAACCAUACAGAAAUUAAAAUAGAAAAGCCUCGUAUGGUAAUCAAUUAUAAGAUGUUAAAUCAAAAUUUAGUCUUUGAUAGAUAUUAUAUUCCUCGAAAAGAUAUUUUGAUAAAUUUAGACAAACAUGCUAAAUAUUUUUCCAAAUUUGAUUGUAAGUCAGGUUUUUGGUAGAUUAAACUUGAUAUUAAAUCAAAGCCUUUAACUGUUUUCAGUGCAUCUACAGAACACUGCCAAUGGACUAUAAUGCCAUUCGGUCUUUGUAAUGCACCUAAGAUAUUACAAAGAUGGAUGGAUCAAAUUUUUGCAAAACAUAAAAAAUUUUGCUAUGUUUUAUAUCGAUGAUAUUUUAGUCUUUUCCAAAACCUUGGAUAAGCACAGAAAAAAUCUAAAUCUUAUAGCACAAGAAUUCAUUUUACAUGGCAUAAUAUUCAAUUCUAAAAAGAUUCAGUUAGAAAAAACUCAAAUAAAAUUUUUAGGAUUAAAGCUUUCAACCAAUGGUCUUGAACUACAAGAUCAUAUCAUUUCUAAAAUUCAAGAAUUUCCAGAACACUUGGAAACUAAAAAACAGUUACAACAAUUUUUAGGCAUCUUUAAUUAUGGACGAUAGUUUUUUAAGAAUCUCUCUAAAAAGGAGAAAGUUCUCCAAGAAAAACUUCGAACCAAUUCAGAAUUUUCUUGGAAUAAUUCUAAUACUGCUAUUAUUAAACAAAUAAAAGCAAAACUUACCGACAUUCCAAAAAUAUAUCUUCCUACCUAAGGAGAUUUAUUGAUAUUAGAAACAGAUGCGAGUGAAGAAUAUUGGAGUUGUGUUUUAAAAGCAAAAAAUUUUCAUAAAAAAGAUGAAUUAAUUUAUGAUUAUAAUUUUGAAAAAUUUAAACCCAAUGAAAUCAAAUACUUUAUUUUCGAAAAAGAAUUAUUAGCCAUGCCAUUAAAAGUGCAGUUACUUGAUUUCAUAUUUUUCUUGCACCAGAAACAUUUAUAAUAAGAACUAAUAAUAAAUCAGUUCAAGACUUUCUUAAAAAUAAAAAAUUAUUUGAUAAUCUAAAAAGAAUAAAAUGGCAUAAUUUUCUAUGUCAAUAUAGCUUUAUCAUCGAGUUUAUUAAUGGUGAUAAAAAUUUUCUUGUAGAUUAUCUGAGCAGACCCAAUGGAUCGUGAUAAGCAAUCUCAACAGGAAGGAUGGCGAACUAUACAAAAGAAGCAAACUAAAAAGGUUUCUUUUUCUUUCUCUUUUUCUCUUCACUUUCAAAAUAAUCCUAACCCAGGAUUAUUUAUUUACCAACCUCAUGGAUACUUACCUCAUCAACUUCCUCAAUGACCUUAUCACGAUCAUAAAAAUUAGCCAGAUUUCUCUUAAUUUGCUUAGGAUCCAAAUCAAUAGAUUCUUAUGUCUUAUUCCCAGAUAGUCUCAUCUACACAAUAAGUGCGUAAAGAAAUUCAAACUUUUAAUCCAAAAAUCAAAGACUUUUAUAAUCUUGGACUUCAAUCAGAAGUCUAUGAUUUAUUAAACCAUGUUUGGAAAUCCCAUCUCUUACAAAACAAAACUCAAUUUUGAAAAAGGAUGACUGGAUUGGUUGAGUUUUUGGUUACUCAAACAAAAAAAUUUCAAAAAUUUCAAGAAGCUGCUUUCCAGAGUCUUCUUGCAUCUAACAUGUUAAAACAACAGGAUAUAAAUUUCUUUGCUCUGGAAGAAAAUCAAUAUUCUAUACAAGAAAUAAAUAAUUUUUUGUCACUUUGUGAGUAUUUUGAAAAACAAAAUUCUCCAAAAAUAGGAAAAUUAUACCAAAUACUUCUUUUCAAAAAAGUUACUGUAUUUUUAACCAAAGAAUUAUUCCAGCAAAUAAAUCUCAGCAUUCUUCAACAAACAAAAAAAUUAUUAGUUGAAAAAUUUUCAAAAUUCUAUUUUGCAACAUAUAUUUUUACCACAGAACUUAGAGAACAAAUCCCUAAACUUAAAUUUAGAUUAAAUCAUGAUCCUUUCGAUAUAAUAAGUAUCAAAUUAGGAAUUGUUUGUGAAAUCCUUGUUCAAAAUUUUCUUUUGAACUUAUCAAAUACUUCCCAGCUUUCAUUAAGCAUCAUUUUCACCAAAUGACAAAAUAUGUCCGACGUUUUUUCUAUAUUGAUUUUCAGAUAACCAGUUUUCUAAGAAUCUUUCAAAGAGAAAGAUUUUAUCAACCCUAUCAGAUUUGGAAAGCUCAAAAACUUCAUACAAGAACUCUGUUGGAACCAUCAAUGGAUUCAUUAGAAAACCCGAAUGAUUUAAACAAAAUUAUUCAAAAAUAUUCAAAUUCGUCGCACUGCCAAUUUUAAAUAGGAAUUUCUACGAUCGAAAAGGCAAAAACUUUGCUUGAGAUGGCCACUAGACAAAAUUUUCCUAGAACAGCUGCCUGGACGGAUGGCAAAAGAAUUUUUGUCCUAACAUAUUAUGCUCCACAUGAAGAUUUGAAAAUAGAAUCUGCACCAAAGGCCUUAAAGCUCCUGCAUCAGCUUUCAACAAUGAAAGAUCUUGAUCACCCUCAAGAAAUUUUUUUCCAAUACCAAGAAGGUUGACGGAUGUGGAACAAGUCCAGAAAAGUAUCUCCUCAAUCCUAUAAUCUAGACGAUGAAAAAUUUUAAAAUCUGGAUAAUAUACUCGAAGAAUAAGUUGUUCUAAAUCAGAAUAAGCUACUCUUUCAAGCUAUUGACAGAAACAAACAAAGCUCUCUACAACAUUAGAUCAAUCGAUAAAAGUUAUUGUAGCAUCAUUAGAGCAGAACUGUAGUUAUCACUUUAGGAGCACAAAUAAUAAAAUCUUCUACAGUAAAAGAUAAGCACAAGUUGGUACUGUUUUCUUCCUUUUUUCUGCUAUAAAUAAAGGGGGUCAUUCCUAAUAAUGCCAGAGGCUUCCAUCCUAGCUACCUUGCUUCUUUCCUAUCCUGUUUCUGUACCAGUAUCUCCUUAAAAACUUGUAAAACAACUUGUAAAAUUAAAAGAUCUUUUCCGCAUCUUUGAAAAUGGUAUCAGAGCAUAUAUUGUAAAUCAGGCAGUUACGAGUAUCAGGAAACUAAAGGAUAUGUCAGACUCUCUUGCGUCAGCUAAGUAGAUCGGAGUUGAUAAAAAUUUUUCUACCUUCUAAUGUCCAAACUGAUAUUGAUGAGAUAGGAGCAAAAAUUAAUUCUUCUGGUAGCACUCUAGUUGACAAAACAGUGGAUAAUUCAGAUGAGAUCUCCUAGAUUCUGUGUAAGUGAAGGAUUCUGAAGUUUACCUAUAUGUUUUAGUGCUUCCAAGAAAAGCUUUCAUUAAAGAUGUAUUUCAAUGCUGCUACAGGAGAGUGGCUCUUAUUGCAAUAGCUGCUAUUAUGCUUCUAUUGACAUUUCUUGGAAUCUGUAAGUCCCUGUGGUUUCUUUUGUAAGAAUUCGCGAAAGUUCGUUUUUUCAGAAUUUAGAAAGUUUGUGACUUCAUUUAUUUGUGCAAUCUAAUUUUGUUUAAGUAUUCUCAAUUUUUGGGAUGCAGCUUCUUGUUUACAUGUGAGUAAGAUGGAAUUUCAUUCUCCAGUUUUUUCUCUGAUUUUGGUUGGAUUCAACGAGGAUCUUUCUUAACAGAAGGGUUUAAAACUAUAUCUGUUUCAGCCUGGUGAUACUAGGAUGGAUGCUUGUCACUGGAACAUUCCUUGUUCUCCAUAAGUUUUAACAUAGCUCAACCUAUAUUCCUUGUGAUGUUUUGUUUUUGAUGUGCUAGUGUAGCUGCAGAUACUUGUGUUGGAAUGCAUGAUUGGAUCCAAAAUCACACUGCUCAUAUGGCUUUAGAUGAUAUACUGCCUUGCGUGGACAAUGCUACAGCCCAAGAAACACUGUUGAAAAGCAGGGAAGUUACUUCUCAGCUUGUUGAAGUUAUUAACCAGCUCAUAACUUUCCAACCAUGUACUUCAAUCAAUCCGGUCCAUUGGUGCCGGUACUCUGCAAUUCUUUCUUUCCUGACCUUACGGAUCGAAUUUGCACUGCUGGUGAAGUGAAUGCAGAUAAUGCAACAUAGGUAAAUUCAUUGGACCCAGCAACAUCAAUGCAUUAUUAUUAACAUGCAAACAAACUUGGACUGAGGCAGAAAGUAGGCUGCCAAGAAUUUCUGUAUGUUUUCUUUUGUUUGCAAGAUCUGGACUUAUUUUACAGUAAGAUAUUAUCAUUUACUACAGGUAUGGAGGCACUAUGUCUGUCAGGUUUCUGCAACUGGAAUAUGCACCACAACAGGACGAUUAACUCCGGCCUUCUAUGACCAGAUGACAGCUGCGGUAAAUGUGGGCUCUGCAUUAUAAAUUUAUGCUCCUUUCGUUGUUCAGCUACAAGACUGCACAUUUGUGAGGGAAACUUUUACAGGCAUUUAUGUAGAACACUGCCCUUGUCUACGGCGGUAUAAUAGAUGGAUCUAUAUAGGGCUGGCAAUGGUCUCAACUAGAGUUAUGCUCCCUUUAAUCUUCUGGGUAAUGUAUGGGCGGGAGAGACGCCAUCGCCUUUAUACAAAACAGUUAAGUGAAGGUCCUGAAGCAGACAGAAGCAGACAGAGACACUUGAAAGAAGCUUUUCUUUCACUUUGUGUGCUGGAAUGGGAAUGGUUGUUUCUUUGCAGUUGUGGUCCGCAGCUUCACUCUAUGUUGUAAGUCCUUUAGUGUGGUUUGUCCAUAUAAAACUGUAACCAAUCCACGCCAGUAAUCAAAGAAUCCAGGUCCAUAAGUGGGUUGUACCUUGUAGUGUUAAAAGACUCGCAUGAUCAGAUUGAAAGGAUUUGUUUCGGGGGAAUUUCAUUACAUGUAGACUUUGGUUAAAUUCCUUCCAUGCCAUGAUGAUUCGUUUCAUCUUUUUUACUACUUUCUUUCCACAACCAAAUGAGGGAGAACUUCAAUUUCUGUUUGUUGAUCCCAUUUCAAGAACCAUGUUAAUAAGGCCUUCAAUAAACAAAAUUUCCUAUACUUACCGCAUUAAAAUAUUAAAUUAUUAAGAGUAAAUGUUUUAUAAAAUUAAUAAAACUUAAACUUUGAAAUUCAUAUAAAAGCCUUUUUCAAUAAUUAAUUAAAUAUAACUCAUAAAUUUGAGAAUUCCGAAAAGCUGCGAAAGAUAAUGUUACGUACAUCUAACUGUUUAUUGAUGACACUUUUGAAAAAUAAUAGAAUUAGAUGAUUUCUUUAUUAGGUUAAAAAAUUGAUAUGAGAAGUGUGUAUAUUUUUAUGCUUAUAUAAACACCUAUGCGCUCUCUCCAUUGGUGCCUACUAUUAUUAUAUAUAUAUAUAUAUAUAUUAGUAUAUUACCUUUCGAUGUCCAUCUCACAUAGGUCCAUGUAAUUAAUAUAGGGCUGGACCACUCGAGAAUUUGUCGAUUUGAGGGCUAAUCCAAAGGUCUGCAAAAGCAACUUCUAUAUAAAUCAAUGUCUUCUUUCUCAGCUGCACAACCAAUAGAUUCUUUAAAACCAUGAAGUGGAUUUUCUGGCUUUCUUUUCUUUUUCUUUUUUUUUUGGGAUAAAUUGAAUUUUUACUCAUUCAAAAUCAACAAAAAUCUACUACAAUAUAAUUGUUUUAUAACUCAGCAAACAAAGAAAUAACAAUUCAUUAACAACUUAUUCUAAAAAUUUUACAUUUAAAUUUCAAUCUUCAUUAAAUUUUUUUAUUUAAUAUAUCGCUUGUAAUAUAUUUCAAUUCAUGCAAUCUGUAUCUUAUAAUUUCUUUACUUUGUCUACCAUUUGUGCAGUCGUUAUCCCCCUUUGCUUGAAUAUCUUUUGAUUCCUUUCUCUUAUAUGAAAUAUAUACAUCCGUUCCAAGUCAUUUUCAAUAGAAUUGAAAUCAAAGCUUUCUCUUUUGAUUUGUUUUUUGCCAAGCUCAGAUCUAUGUCUCAACUUCAUACUCUUCUAUUAAUGAUACAUAGCUGAAGAAUCUUUUGUUAAAUUUUUUUUUGAAUAGACACACUCAAAGUAAAUAUGAUCUUUUCUUUCAUCUUCAUUGUUACAUAAAUUAUAUUUACAAUCAAAUUUUAUUUUUCAUGAUUAUAACGUAUCUUUUAUUGAAAACCUAUUUAAAAUCAUCAUUCACGUUAUUAGUGAAUGAUUUAGAAUAUAAUACUUGAAUCAUAUUAAUUUUUACCAUCUCACUUUUCGUUGCUGCGAUCUGAUCUUUUUUCAUUCUAUAACAGUGUGAUAAUGUCCUUUUGAAAAUGACCGUACUUCCGCUCCGUUUUAUUUUUUGAUGAAAUUUUACGCAAUCUGUCUUAUUUGAAGCAAUUUCCUCCAAUACCACGGCGCUGGCUUUCUUUGGUCCUGGUACAGUUAAACGAUUACCAAUGCUUUGGUUGCCAUGAGGAAGAGAGGCUUGCUCUUUUGAAACUCAAAACAUCUUUCUAUCCGGACGAGAGCUAUGCUCCUUCUUCUUGGGAGGAUAACGAUAGUGACUGUUGUGGUUGGGAAAAUGUGGUGUGUGACAAAGAAACGAAACGAGUAAGUAAGCUUUUUCUUAACAGCUCAUGGGAUCUCCGUGAAGUCUAUGAAGAUUUGUUUCUGGAUGCCACCCUUUUUCUUCCAUUUAAGGAUCUGACUUCCCUAAACUUGUCUUCAAACAUGUUUUCUGGUUUGGCUGAUAAUGAUGGUACUAGAAACUUCUUUUUUUCAGUUUAUCAUUUCAGAAUUCUGUCUUUCUGCUGUGAAAUAGGAAGGAGGUUUAAAUAUUCAUUUUUUUUCGAAUUCUCUUCGUUCAACAGGCUUUGAAAGAUUGUCUAAACUGAACAAGUUGAGAUUCCUUGAUUUGAGCGGAAGUUACUUUCGUGACAGCAUCCUUGCACAUGUUGGAGCAAUCUCUUCACUUACUACUUUGUAUUUGGCUAAGAACUUAAUGACCGGAGUGACUCAUUUGCAAGGUAUGUUCAUUCUUCCAUUUUACUCUGGAUCCAAGAAUCUCUUAUCUCAUGUAACUUUGCUCAUGUCAUGAUAAUUGUUCUCUGAAGAACUGGCUGCUCUGUCUAACUUGGACGAGUUGGACUUGAGUGAGAAUUUGUGAGAAAGCUUCAUGGAGAUUCAAGGUACACCACCAAUGUUUAAUUCCAUUUGGCACUUGAUGGUUUCCUAGUCAACCUUUGGUUUAGCUGAUUUCUAUUUCAGGUCUUAAAAAAUUGAGCAAACUGAAAGUCCUGAACCUAAACUCAAAUAAGCUCAACAUGAGUACUUUACUGUCUCUUGGGAAUCUCCAUUCGCUCAAGAGGCUUUAUAUCAACGAUAAUAGCUUGGAAGGAUCCAUUACUAUUGAAGGUAUGCACAACUAAAAAAAAAAUAAGGGCAGCCCGGUGCAUAAAGCGCUCCGGCUAUGUGCGAGUUCGGGAGGGGUCCAUUGUACACAUGUUUUAUCAUACCUAGAUUUUUCCACCUUCCUUCCUUUCUAGGACUUAACAGUUUGAGAAACAUGGAGGUCUUGGAUGUCUCUUCCAGUAAUAUUAGCAGCAACUUUCUUCAGGUUUUAGACUACAUGAUAGGCUUAUACUUGCGUGAUAAUACUCUCAAUGGCACCACGGAUUUGCUUGGUAAUUCUAGUUGUACUUGAAAACCAAGUGCUUUAAUUGAAUUAAAUUAACAAGUAUUUAUUAUAUUAACUUUGUUUUCUAACAAUUUUGGCAGGCUUGUGCAAACUUAGGGAUCUUGAAGAGUUGGAUCUCAGUCAUAACAGUUUCAAAGGCACAAUCCCUUCCUGUGUUGAAACCUUGACAUCCCUUUGAGUUCUGGAUAUCUCUAGAAACAGGUUUUCGGGGAACAUCAGUUCAUCUUUCAUCUCUAGCCUCAUUUCCCUUGAGUUUCUUUCCCUUUCUCACAAUGUAUUCCAAAGUUUGGCCCCAUUUUCCUCAUUUGCUAACCAUUCUAAGCUUGAGGUCUUUGAGCUUAUCCGUGAUAACAAUGGAUUAAUGGUUGAAAUCGAUGAUCAUAAUUGGGUUCCACGCCUCCAACUGAAGAUCUUCCGUCUUUCAGGCUGUUCAGUUGAUGAAGGAUCCAUGUUCAAAUUUCUUUCUUACCAAUAUGAUCUUAGAGUGAUUGAUCUUUCUGAUAACAACUUGGAAGGAGAUUUCCCUACUUGGUUGAUGGAGAAUAAUACAAGAAUGGUAGAGCUAUAUUUGAAAAAUAAUUCUUUCAAAGGCCAAUUUCCUCUUCCAUCUCGUCCUAGCACAUUCAUCUCCGUUGUUGAUAUUUCCAGCAAUCAGCUUCAAGGACAUAUCCCAUCAAACAUAAGUGUCUAUCUCCCAAAUCUGAAACAUCGGAAUCUCUCAACGAAUUCCUUCAAAGGCAGCAUUCCUUCUUCAUUCGGUGAUAUGAAAAAUCUGCUCGCUUUGGACCUGUCAAACAAUUAACUCUUGGGAGACAUACCUGAUAGCUUGGUCUCUGGCUGCUUUCUUUUACAUGCUCUAAUAUUGUCAAACAGUAAUCUUAGUGGCGAAAUGUUUCCAAAGUUUUCUAAUCUGACCAGCUUAGAAAUACUGCGUUUGAAUGGGAAUCUCUUUCUUGGAGAAAUCCCAGAUAGUUUGCUCAGCAGCUCAGACUUGGAGAGUCUAGAUGUUAGUUAUAACUCCUUAUCAGGUAAGCUGCCAACUUGGAUGGGAAAUUUGACUUAUCUGCAAGCACUUUUGAUGGCCGGGAAUCAUCUUGAAGGACCGAUUCCCACUGAGUUUUGUUCAUGUGAGAACAUUGAAAUUCUUGAUCUUUCGCAGAACAAUCUCUCAGGCUCUAUCCCAUCUUGCAUUAGCCCAAUAUCCCUUCGCCAGGUAUACCUGCAUGACAACAAGUUCACGGGACGAAUAACAAAAUCCUUCUCUCAAAGCUUAUCUUUGGUGACUCUAGACAUCAGAAACAACUACUUGACCGGAGGUAUUCCCAGCUGGAUUUCCAAUCUCAGUUUGAGCAUUCUUCUUCUGAAAGAAAACCAGUUGGAAGGAAGAAUCCCUGUUGAGUUGUGUCAGUCGUCUAUGAUGACUAUGCUAGAUCUUUCUCACAACAAUCUCUCAGGUCCUAUUCCUUGUUGCUUGAACAAGAUACCAUUCAAAAUAGAGUUUCGUUCUGGAAAAUUUCGUAUAGCUGUUUCUCUGGAUAGUGAUCUACAGUUGUCAGCCUAUUCAUAUGAAAGCAGCUAUAUAGAGUUACUUCAAAUACCUUCUUAUGCUAAACCUGUAUAUUAUGAUAUAUCCUCUGUUGAGUUCACAACCAAGAACAGUCUGACUUCUACAGGAACAACUUUUUAUACAACAUGACUGGAAUUGAUCUCUCCUGGAAUAAAUUGACAGGCAGAAUACCACCUGAAAUGGGGGAGCUAAAGCUAAUCAGUGCACUAGAUCGUUCACAUAAUGAAUUGAAUGGUUCAAUUCCAACAACCUUUUCGGGCCUAAAGAACAU